rnacentral:rRNA from 1 species
UACGUAGGGUGCGAGCGUUAAUCGGAAUUACUGGGCGUAAAGCGUGCGCAGGCGGUUUGUUAAGACAGAUGUGAAAUCCCCGGGCUUAACCUGGGAACUGCAUUUGUGACUGGCAAGCUAGAGUAUGGCAGAGGGGGGUAGAAUUCCACGUGUAGCAGUGAAAUGCGUAGAGAUGUGGAGGAAUACCGAUGGGCGAAGGCAGCCCCCUGGGCCCAAUACUGAC